AUUACCCGCGUCCUUCGUUUCAAUCAAUUUCCCAAACAUUAACCCCAAACCUCCAGAGAUUCAAAGUUCAGAGUGAAGCUGCUGCUUCUUCUUCUUCUCCAACGCUUGAGAGUAGAGACCAGAGACGAAGUCACCGUCACGGAGAGAGGCAGAGAGCAGAUCAGUAGAGCUUCUUCUUCUUCGACGAUUGAGAAAACCUGCCGUCCUCCGUCGGAGAGCAGAGCUUCUUCUUCUUCUUCUCCUCCUCCGCCGAGCCCGCCGCCGCGCCAUCCUGUUCAUGUUCCUAAUUCUUCUCCAAUGGCAGAAGCUGCCGUUCUGAUAUGUAUGGAGCAGCGGUUUUAGAUGUAUGUGAGCAAAUAAAGGUACGCAUGGAACCUGUUGCUUCACGAAACAACUUCAACUCAUUUGCUGAGGAGGAAAGCAGAUCUGCUGCCAUUGGAAGGCAGCAGAUGGUCACAGAGAAGGGUGGAAAUUCGAUUCAGACACUUGGCAGGGGUUCUGUUCGAAAUGAAGAGAAAACUCGCAGAUUACUAUAACCGUACUUAAAAUAUAAUAUACCUGUAAUCUUUGGUUCUGCUUUCUGUUUUUAGAAUACUUAGAACUGCACUAACGGUCAUUUCUAUCUUUUCUCCUUGGUCUUGGAUAUGCUCACUAAAGCACAUUCAAAAUGGGUACCAUGGAGCAUAUAGUCCUAUUAGGAGAAUUAAGAUUCUUGGAUGGCAACAAGUUGCUGAAAAAAUUGGAAUGCAACAUUGUGUUGCAUCAGGCCAAUGGCUAAAUGAGAGAAUUGCUCUCUCAAGAUAUGCCCCAUGUACCACUUGGGAAUUUUGAACUUGACUAGCUUAUAUUUACAGCAGAUACCUUCUUCUCAAGAGCUUUGCGUGAUAGUCAACAGGUUAUGAUUGUUCAUGUUGCUGCACAAAAUCAGCAACGCAUUCCAUUUGGAGUUGGUAUGGCAUUAGAUCCCAUGGCUUUGCGUAGAGGAGCAAAACAGCUUGCUAUGGAAGAUGUUUGCUAUUAUUAAUGGCCUCUGCCUGGGCUGGAUCAGGUUCUGUAUAUAUUCAUGGCAUUCCUUCAAUAUUUUGUUUCUCACAAUUAUAUAGGGAGUAGAGCUAAUCCACUUCAAUGCCCAAUUUGCAGUUUGGGCUAUUUGGUAUCUGCGAUGGGGCUGCUAAAUCCGCAAGCAAACUUUUUCCUGAGAUAAUUGCUAAUAUAUUAUUGGAUUCAUAAAAAAGGGAGCGGAUUUUAUCACUUCAUGAUGCUUCAGAAAUUCUAAGAGAUGCAUUUUCUCAAUCAGAAGCAUGCUUGAAUCAUUACUGAGAUUGAAGCCACCAUCAGGGUCUGCUGUGCCUAUUGCAGAGUACAUUCCAGGUUAGGAAUCAAGAGUUAGGGUCAAAUUGAUGUCCUAUAUCCUAUAUGUUAGCAUGAGUUUUUUUUGGUAAUUUUUUAUUAACUUUUUUACUUUAGAGGAAUUUGAUCCUUCAACUAUAAUAGUUAAUUUUUGUAAUAAUGAUUCUUUUAAA